GACGAACGCUGGCGGCGUGCUUAACACAUGCAAGUCGAGCGGUAAGGCCCUUUCGGGGGUACACGAGCGGCGAACGGGUGAGUAACACGUGGGUGACCUGCCCUCAGCUCUGGGAUAAGCCUGGGAAACCGGGUCUAAUACUGGAUAUGACUCCAUGACGCAUGUUGUGGGGUGGAAAGCCUUGUGCGGCUGAGGAUGGGCCCGCGGCCUAUCAGCUUGUUGGUGGGGGUGAGGGCCCUACCAAGGCGACGACGGGGUAGCCGGCCUGAGAGGGGCGACCGGCCACACUGGGACUGAGACACGGCCCAGACUCCUACGGGAGGCAGGCAGUGGGGGAAUCUUGCGCAAUGGGCGAAAGCCUGACGCAGCGACGCCGCGUGAGGGAUGAC
rnacentral:rRNA from 1 species